CUGAAAUUACAAAAUACAAAUUAUGCAUAAAUACAUGUAAACAAAAACAUCAUUUGUAUGCUUCAAUACGAACCUUAUGAAAAAAAAUCCAUUGGUAUAACUAAUUAAAUUAAAGUUUCACACAAAUACAACUGAAAAAAAAAGAGAGGGACGAAUGCACGUGCAUAAACGACAAACAAUGAAUGAAAAUGGUAAAAAAGAUUUUAUUUUUCUUAUAAAACAACCCACGGUGCCACUCCUAUUUCCUCUCGCUCUUCUUUCUCCACCAUUUUCAGAUCCAUUUCUAAGCUUCUUCCUUUCCCUUUCCCUUUCUACAUUGUCAAUGGUUAAUUUUGGGGAUUUUGUUUUCGGGGUUUAUCACUUUGUUUACCAGUUUGUUCUCCAUCCCAUUUACCAACACUCUGAUGGUGCAAGGUAUACUUUGUUACUGGAGAACGUUUCUAUACUUUGAGAGAUCAAGUUUGUGGGAAAAGUUUGUAGAGAAACAUGAGAGAAAUCACGAAAAAUCUUAUUUAAUCCCACUUUUGUGGACUAUGAAUGGGGUUUUCCUUAUCUUUAUCAUCCUUCUGGUUUUUGCUGCAACUCUUGCGGGAGAAGCCAAUAUGAGGAAAGUUU